ensembl:lncRNA
ACCAGUUUAAAUUUACGACUGCAUGCAGAACAUGACGAGCUGUGAUCCCACAGGUCCUCUGCUAACUGAGCAAAAACCUACCCCUGGACCCAGAGGGGCUUCUAUUGAGACAGCAAACGCUACAAUGUACAUCUGACAGGUGCUCGCUUCUGCCGAGCAGGCAGUAACCUUGGAGGGAGUAGACAGGAAUGCAGCAGCCCUAUCUGAGCUCAGAGGGAAAUGCUGACUGCAAAGACCUUUUUUUUUGUUGUUCUGAGAGGAAAAUCAAUAUUCCAGAGUCCAUCACAUGGCCAGGCAAUUUGGUGCUUUUUUUCUCUCUCUCUCUCUCUCUCUCUCCAGCCAAGGGUUGUACCUCCAAAUCAAUAUGUGAUACACAAAUAUCGCAGGGCUCCGUGUUCUGGACGGGGAGCGAUGACGAGGGCCUGAGAGUUAGCCAGCUUUACACCACCUGCCAGAGGAGAAUGAUCUGAUGUGGAAGGCUAGAAGCUUCUGGUAGAAUCAGCGUGAAAAGCAUGUGGUCAGACUGUGUUAAUCAGAUUCAAACUAUGCAUUGCUCCUUUUAAAUCGGUGUUAAUACUGGUCUUUUAAUAACGGGAGAUAUCUGCAGCUUGAAGUUUUUCCCCAUCAAACUGGAUGUCGCUCUGAUCUGAUCGAUCAGAGUCAGAUCAAAAAAGCUCAGUUAAGAAACAGACGGCUGAUUUUACACAUUAGUUAAACUGGAUUGGAUGAAAAAAUUAAGGGGAAAAAAAGCUGUAUCGCUUAAUGGGC